GACGAACGCUGGCGGCGUGCUUAACACAUGCAAGUCGAGCGGAAAGGCCACUUCGGUGGUACUCGAGCGGCGAACGGGUGAGUAACACGUGAGUAAUCUGCCCCUGGCUUUGGGAUAGCCACCGGAAACGGUGAUUAAUACCGGAUAUGACGACUUGACGCAUGUUUUGUGGUGGAAAGUUUUUCGGCCAGGGAUGUGCUCGCGGCCUAUCAGCUUGAUGGUGAGGUAAUGGCUCACCAUGGCUUCGACGGGUAGCCGGCCUGAGAGGGUGACCGGACACACUGGGACUGAGACACGGCCCAGACUCCUACGGGAGGCAGCAGUGGGGAAUAUUGGACAAUGGGCGGAAGCCUGAUCCAGCAACGCCGCGUGAGGGAUGACGGCCUUCGGGUUGUAAACCUCUUUCGCCUGUGACGAAGCGCAAGUGACGGUAACAGGUAAAGAAGCACCGGCCAACUACGUGCCAGCAGCCGCGGUAA
rnacentral:rRNA from 1 species